UACGUAGGGUCCAAGCGUUAAUCGGAAUUACUGGGCGUAAAGCGUGCGCAGGCGGUUGCGCAAGACCGAUGUGAAAUCCCCGGGCUUAACCUGGGAAUUGCAUUGGUGACUGCACGGCUAGAGUGUGUCAGAGGGGGGUAGAAUUCCACGUGUAGCAGUGAAAUGCGUAGAGAUGUGGAGGAAUACCGAUGGCGAAGGCAGCCCCCUAGGAUAACACUGACGCUCAUGCACGAAAGCGUGGGGAGCAAACAGGAUUAGA
rnacentral:rRNA from 1 species